AUUGAACGCUGGCGGCAGGCCUAACACAUGCAAGUCGAGCGGAUGAAGGGAGCUUGCUCCUGGAUUCAGCGGCGGACGGGUGAGUAAUGCCUAGGAAUCUGCCUGGUAGUGGGGGAUAACGUCCGGAAACGGGCGCUAAUACCGCAUACGUCCUGAGGGAGAAAGUGGGGGAUCUUCGGACCUCACGCUAUCAGAUGAGCCUAGGUCGGAGUAGCUAGUUGGUGGGGUAAAGGCCUACCAAGGCGACGAUCCGUAACUGGUCUGAGAGGAUGAUCAGUCACACUGGAACUGAGACACGGUCCAGACUCCUACGGGAGGCAGCAGUGGGGAAUAUUGGACAAUGGGCGAAAGCCUGAUCCAGCCAUGCCGCGUGUGUGAAGAAGGUCUUCGGAUUGUAAAGCACUUUAAGUUGGGAGGAAGGGCAGUAAGUUAAUACCUUGCUGUUUUGACGUUACCAACAGAAUAAGCACCGGCUAACUUCG
rnacentral:rRNA from 1 species